GGGUCAGUAGGUUGGUCGUGCCACCGGUACGUACCGGUCUCACUGAUUCCUCCUUCCUGAAGAACCGUAAUGCCAUUAAUUUGGUGUUGCGGGGAAACAGGACUGUUACCUUGAAAAAAUUAGAGUGUUUAAAGCAAGCUAACGCUUGAAUACAUUAGCAUGGAAUAAUGAAAUAGGACGAUCGAUCCUAUUUUGUUGGUUUCUAGGAUUGACGUA
rnacentral:rRNA from 1 species